rnacentral:rRNA from 1 species
AUUGAACGCUGGCGGCAUGCUUUACACAUGCAAGUCGAACGGUAACAGCACUUCGGUGGCUGACGAGUGGCGAACGGGUGAGUAAUACAUCGAAACGUGCCUAGUAGUGGGGGAUAACUACUCGAAAGAGUAGCUAAUACCGCAUGAGAUCUAAGGAUGAAAGCAGGGGACCUUCGGGCCUUGCGCUACUAGAGCGGCUGAUGGCAGAUUAGGUAGUUGGUGGGAUAAAAGCUUACCAAGCCGACGAUCUGUAGCUGGUCUGAGAGGACGACCAGCCACACUGGGACUGAGACACGGCCCAGACUCCUACGGGAGGCAGCAGUGGGGAAUUUUGGACAAUGGGCGCAAGCCUGAUCCAGCAAUGCCGCGUGCAGGAUGAAGGCCUUCGGGUUGUAAACUGCUUUUGUACGGAACGAAAAGCCCUCUUCUAAUACAGGAGGGUCAUGACGGUACCGUAAGAAUAAGCACCGGCUAACUACGAG